CAGUAGCCGCGGGAAUACCGAGGGUGCGAGCGUUAAUCGGAUUUACUGGGCGUAAAGCGUGCGUAGGCGGCUUUUUAAGUCGGAUGUGAAAUCCCUGAGCUUAACUUAGGAAUUGCAUUCGAUACUGGGAAGCUAGAGUAUGGGAGAGGAUGGUAGAAUUCCAGGUGUAGCGGUGAAAUGCGUAGAGAUCUGGAGGAAUACCGAUGGCGAAGGCAGCCAUCUGGCCUAAUACUGACGCUGAGGUACGAAAGCAUGGGGAGCAAACAGGAUUAGAUACCCCUGUAGUCCCUGUCUCUUAUAU
rnacentral:rRNA from 1 species